AGAGUUUGAUCCUGGCUCAGGAUGAACGCUAGCUACAGGCUUAACACAUGCAAGUCGAGGGGCAGCAUUGGAGUAGCAAUACUCAGAUGGCGACCGGCGCACGGGUGAGUAACACGUAUCCAACCUGCCGCUUACUCGGGGAUAGCCUUUCGAAAGAAAGAUUAAUACCCGAUGGUAUAAAGAGUUCGCAUGUUCUCUUUAUUAAAGAAUUUCGGUAAGCGAUGGGGAUGCGUUCCAUUAGAUAGUUGGCGGGGUAACGGCCCACCAAGUCUACGAUGGAUAGGGGUUCUGAGAGGAAGGUCCCCCACAUUGGAACUGAGACACGGUCCAAACUCCUACGGGAGGCAGCAGUGAGGAAUAUUGGUCAAUGGACGAGAGUCUGAACCAGCCAAGUAGCGUGAAGGAUGACUGCCCUAUGGGUUGUAAACUUCUUUUAUAAGGGAAUAAAGUGAGGGACGUGUCCCUUUUUGUAUGUACCUUAUGAAUAAGGAUCGGCUAACUCCGUGCCAGCAGCAGC
rnacentral:rRNA from 1 species